rnacentral:rRNA from 1 species
UGAGUACGAGACGCUAAGGCGUUGAAGCAGUCUAUGUCAGACUUCCAAGAAAAGCUCGCAAUGUCAUAAACAAAGAAUGCCUGUACCAUAACCGACACAGGUGGGUAGGUAGAGUAUACUAAGGGGCGCGAGAUAACUCUCUCUAAGGAACUCGGCAAAAUGACUCCGUAACUUCGGGAGAAGGAGUGCCUUAUUUUUAUAAGGUUGCAAUAACAAGAUCCAAGCAACUGUUUACCAAAAACACAGGUCUCCGCUAAGUCGUAAGACGAUGUAUGGGGGCUGGCGCCUGCCCAGUGCCAGAAGGUUAAAGAAGUUGGUUAGUUUCGGCGAAGCUGAUGACUGAAGCCCUGGUGAACGGCGGCCGUAACAAUAACGGUCCUAAGGUAGCGAAAUUCCUUGUCGGGUAAGUUCCGACCCGCACGAAAGGCGUAAUGAUUUGGAUACUGUCUCGGAGAGGGGCUCGGUGAAAUAGACUUGUCUGUGAAGAUGCGGACUACCUGCACCUGGACAGAAAGACCCUAUGAAGCUUUACUGUAACUUGAGAUUGAAAUUGGACUUUAUUUGCGCAGUAUAGGUGGGAGACGUUGAGAAUAUUCUUGCGGGAAUAUUGGAGUCAUCAGUGAGAUACCACUCUUGUAAUGUUAGAUUUCUAACUUUGUAUCAUUAUCUGGUCAAAGGACAGUUUCAGGCGGGCAGUUUGACUGGGGCGGUCGCCUCCCAAACGGUAACGGAGGCGCACAAAGGUUUCCUCUGAACGUGUAGAAAUCGUAUCUAGAGUGUAAAGGCAUAAGGAAGCUUGACUGUGAGACCUACAAGUCGAGCAGGGACGAAAGUCGGUCUUAGUGAUCUGACGGUGCUGAGUGGAAAGGCCGUCACUCAACGGAUAAAAGUUACUCUAAGGAUAACAGGCUGAUCUCCCCCAAGAGUUCACAUCGACGGGGAGGUUUGGCACCUCGAUGUCGGCUCAUCGCAUCCUGGGGCGGUAGUACGUCCCAAGGGUUGGGCUGUUCGCCCAUGAAAGCGGUACGCGAGCUGGGUUCAGAACGUCGUGAGACAGUUCGGUCCAUAUCCGGUGUAGGCGUUAGAAUAUUGAGAGGAGCCUUCUUUAGUACGAGAGGACCGAGAAGGACAUACCUCUGGUGUACCAGUUAUCGCGCCAACGGUAAACGCUGGGUAGCUAUGUAUGGAGUGGAUAACCGCUGAAAGCAUCUAAGUGGGAAGCCCACCUCAAGAUAGGUAUUCUC